GAAUCGCCUCCAUGUCUGGCUGAUGGAGUCCUCCACCUUCUGCUUUGACACUCAGAAUUUUAAUUGUCUUUCAGACUAAAAUGACACAGCUCCAUCUGCAGUCUCUGACACCCACCUGCAAAGCAUCCACCUCCAGGAAGAAAAAUCCACCUUCCUUCUAUACCGACCACCUCUGACAUCAAGAAACUAAAUCCACCUUCAGCCUCCACCUUCUCGCACCACCCUUAAGCCUCCAUCAUCUUCCAUCUAUCUUUGUACAUGUAGCUCCACCUGCAGUCUCUGCCAUCAACCUGCAAGGCAUCCACCUCCAGGAAGAA